UACAGAGGUCUCAAGCGUUGUUCGGAUUCAUUGGGCGUAAAGGGCGCGUAGGCGGCGUGACAAGUCACUUGUGAAAUCUCCGGGCUUAACCCGGAGCGGCCAAGUGAUACUGUCGUGCUAGAGUGCGGAAGGGGCUACUGGAAUUCUCGGUGUAGCGGUGAAAUGCGUAGAUAUCGAGAGGAACACCUGCGGCGAAGGCGGGUAGCUGGGCCGACGCUGACGCUGAUGCGCGAAAGCUAGGGGAGCGAACGGG
rnacentral:rRNA from 1 species